rnacentral:rRNA from 1 species
UACGGGGGGUGCAAGCGUUGUCCGGAUUUAUUGGGUUUAAAGGGUGCGUAGGCGGUUAAGUAAGUCAGUGUUGAAAGCCAUAAGCUUAACUUAUGGACUGGCAAUGAUACUGCUUAACUUGAGUACAGUUGAGGUAUGCGGAAUUUAUGGUGUAGCGGUGAAAUGCAUAGAUACCAUAAAGAACACCGAUAGCGAAGGCAGCAUGCUAAGCUGGUACUGACGCUGAGGCACGAAAGCGUGGGGAUCAAACAGG